GACGAACGCUGGCGGCGCGCUUAACACAUGCAAGUCGAACGGGAAGGCCCUGCUUUGGUGGGGUGCUCGAGUGGCGAACGGGUGAGUAACACGUGAGUAGCCUGCCCUAGACUUUGGGAUAACUUCAGGAAACUACGGCUAAUACCGGAUAGGAGCUCCUGCUGCAUGCUGGGGGUUGGAAAGUUUCGGCGGUUGGGGAUGGACUCGCGGCGUAUCAGCUUGUUGGUGGGGUGGUGGCUUACCAAGGCUUUGACGGGUAGCCGGCCUGGGAGGGUGAGCGGCCACGUCGGGAUUGGGAUGCGGCCCAGACCCCUACGGGAGGCAGCAGUGGAGAAGAGUGUACAAUGGGCGGAAGCCUGAUGCAGCACCGCCGCGUGCGGGAUGACGGCCUGCGGGUUGUAAACCGCUUUCGCCUGGGACGAAGCGAGAGUGACGGUAAUGGGCAAAGAAGCACCGGCUAACUACGUG
rnacentral:rRNA from 1 species